AAGUCGUAACAAGGUCUCCGUUGGUGAACCAGCGGAGGGAUCAUUACAGAGUGUAAAAACUCCCAAACCCCUGUGAACUUACUAUCGUUGCUUCGGCGGGAACGCCCCGGGCGCCAUCGCGUGCCCCGGAACCAGGCGCCCGCCGGGGGACUCAAACUCUUGUUUUACUUUAGUGGUAUUCUCUGAGUGGCUAUAAGCAAAAAAAUGAAUCAAAACUUUCAACAACGGAUCUCUUGGUUCUGGCAUCGAUGAAGAACGCAGCGAAAUGCGAUAAGUAAUGUGAAUUGCAGAAUUCAGUGAAUCAUCGAAUCUUUGAACGCACAUUGCGCCCGCUAGUAUUCUGGCGGGCAUGCCUGUCUGAGCGUCAUUUCACCAAUCCCCCGGGCAUUCGUGUCGGGGGGCUGUUGGGGAUCGUCGACCGCCCCCGGGCGGGCGCCGUCCCCUAAAGCCAGUGGCAGCCUCGCCGCGGCCUCCCCUGCGUAGUAAACACUCUCGCGGGCGGAGCCACAGCGAAGGAUCGCCGUAAAAACCCCAACUAUCUAUGGGUUGACCUCAGAUCAGGUAGGAAUACCCGCUGAACUUAAGCAUGUCAAUAAGCGGAGGAAAAGAAACCAACAGGGAUUGCCUCAGUAACGGCGAGUGAAGCGGCAACAGCUCAAAUUUGAAAUCUGGCCUUACGGUCCGAGUUGUAAUUUGCAGAGGAUGUUUCUGGCAAGGUGCCUUCCGAGUUCCCUGGAACGGGACGCCAUAGAGGGUGAGAGCCCCGUCCGGUUGGUCGCCGCGCCUAUGUGAAACUCCUUCGACGAGUCGAGUAGUUUGGGAAUGCUGCUCUAAAUGGGAGGUAUACGUCUUCUAAGGCUAAAUAUUGGCCAGAGACCGAUAGCGCACAAGUAGAGUGAUCGAAAGAUGAAAAGCACUUUGAAAAGAGGGUUAAAAAGUACGUGAAAUUGUUGAAAGGGAAGCACUCAUGACCAGACUUGGGCCGGUUGAUCAUCCGCCGUUCUCGGCGGUGCACUCUGCCGGUCCAGGCCAGCAUCAGUUCGUUCCGGGGGAUAAAGGUUUCGGGAAUGUGGCUCCUUCGGGAGUGUUAUAGCCCGUUGCGUAAUACCCUGGGGCGGACUGAGGUUCGCGCAUUGCAAGGAUGCUGGCGUAAUGGUCUUCAGUGACC
rnacentral:rRNA from 1 species